rnacentral:rRNA from 1 species
AUAUCAAUAAGCGGAGGAAAAGAAACUAACAAGGAUUCCCCUAGUAACUGCGAGUGAAGCGGGAGAAGCUCAAAUUUAAAAUCUGGCUGGUCUCUUGGCCAUCCGAGUUGUAAUUCUAGAGAAGCGUUUAUCCGCGCUGGACCGUGCUACAAGUCUCCUGGAAUCGGAGCGUCAUAGAGGGUGAGAAUCCCGUCUUCUGACACGAUGCACCAGGGCAUUUGUGAUGCGCUCUCAGAAGAGUCGAGUUGUUUGGGAAUGCAGCUCUAAAAUGGGUGGUGAACUUCCAUCUAAAGCUAAAUAUUGGCGAGAGACCGAUAGCGAACAAGUACCGUGAGGGAAAGAUGAAAAGCAACUUUGGAAAGAGAGUGUAAACAGUAC